rfam:Eucalyptus grandis cultivar BRASTZ1 unplaced genomic scaffold scaffold_6, whole genome shotgun sequence.
CUUCUAUGGUGAUGAAUUAUGAGUGAAGAGUAAUGUACAUGUCAAACUUCAGAGAUUUCCAUCGAUGAGAAGAUACACUUGACACUCUAAACAGAAA